rnacentral:rRNA from 1 species
CCAGACUCCUACGGGAGGCAGCAGUCGGGAAUAUUGCGCAAUGGAGGAAACUCUGACGCGGUGACGCCGCGUGCAGGAAGAAGGUUUUCGGAUUGUAAACUGCUUUAGACAGGGAAGAAACAAGACAGUACCUGUAGAAUAAGCUCCGGCUAACUACGUGCCAGCAGCCGCGGUAAUACGUAGGGAGCAAGCGUUAUCCGGAUUUAUUGGGUGUAAAGGGUGCGUAGACGGAGAAGCAAGUUAGUUGUGAAAUCCCUCGGCUUAACUGAGGAACUGCAACUAAAACUACUUCCCUUGAGUGCUGGAGAGGAAAGUGGAAUUCCUAGUGUAGCGGUGAAAUGCGUAGAUAUUAGGAGGAACACCAGUGGCGAAGGCGACUUUCUGGACAGUAACUGACGUUGAGGCACGAAAGUGUGGGGAGCAAACAGGAUUAGAUACCCGCGUA